GAAGGAAGAAUUUCUACUUCUAAACACUAUUAAAAAUCGUUAUCAUUAAAGGAAUUGGGAUCGGGAAAUGCAUGAAAUAUUGAAAACAAAAUUUAGUUUACAAAAUACCCUACGCCAUUUUGUGCCGCUUUAAGCCUGAAUUGCACUUGAAUAUAGACAAAGGUUUACUUAAAAAUUAACCUCAAAAAAGUGCAAUUUUCUAAAUAAGUUGAUUUAUCUGGAUGUUGCACCA